GCCCCUCAUUAGAUUUAUGUGUUCCUACAACAAAAAGAAAUCUGCAUAUAUGAGAUGGAAGCAAAUAGGGAGGGUUUGCUGUCUGGUUUGCUGCCGCAAGUUGGCAUGGAGUUUAGUACUGUAGAAGAGGCUUGGAUGUUUGAACUAGCUAUGGAGGUCAAAAAAGAUAUGAGGUUAGAAAAAGGUUCUCAAAUAAAAGAAAGUCCGAUGGGAAGGUUAGGUUCUGCAGAUAUGUUUGUGCAAAUGAGAGCCAUAGAAAGGAAGAUAAAAGGGAUCAUCUAACAGAGUGUCCAAGAGCUGAAACUAUAAAAGGGAUCAUCUAACAGUUGACACUGAUGCUUUGCUAGAGAGCAAUACAACAUUCUGUGCUUUCCAGUGACAACUUGCAAUGUAUACAAUUUGCAGUAACAUUUGUGCAUUCCAGUGAUAAUUUUCAAGCCAUACAUUUUGCAGAA